GGAGAAGCCCAGCGCUGAUGGAUUGGAAGUGCCCCGUGAGCCCCUGGGGACAGGGGCUGGUAGCUCCGCCCGGAAGACCAACAAGAAUGAAAAGAGAACCUUUGGUGUAUCGCACCUGCUAAAUCUCUUAUCAGCCAAAGAAAACCUUACUAAGAACCGACAACGUUGGCAGCCAUUAUCAGAAAUUCAGGGUGAACAGAAAGGCUUGAUUUGACCAAUUUGGAAGAGUUAGGGCUUGAAAUACAACAGCAGAUUAAGUAGGAUAAAUAAAUCAUCUUAUGUUACUUUUCUCUCUCUAGCCAUUUUAUUAGAUGUAAUUUGGAUGUUGC
rnacentral:lncRNA from 1 species